GUGUCAAACCGGAGGAAGGUGGGGACGAAGUCAAGUCAUCAUGCCCCUUACGUCCAGGGUUGCACACGCGCUACAAUGGCCGGUACAAAGGGCUGCAAANUCGCGNGAGUGAGCCAAUCCCAUAAAGCCGGUCUCAGUUCGGAUCGCAGUCUGCAACUNGACUGCGUGAAGUCGGAGUCGNUAGUAAUCGCAGAUCAGCACGCUGCGGUGAAUACGUUUCCCGGGCCUUGUACACACCGCCCGUCACACCACGAAAGUGGGCAA
rnacentral:rRNA from 1 species